CAGUGUCGGAGUCGGAGUUCUGUUAUGUGUGGAAAUAAAUAAUAAAACAGAAAAAGCUGUGAAAAUUGUGCAAAUCAUUCUUAAUUAAUAGCUUAAAAGAAAACAAAACUUCUCUGACCGCAAUAAACUAACUGCCGCGUCGUGCACUCGGAAGAAGAACUCAAAAAAAGAACGCUAAAGUCAAACUGAGCAAAUGAGCAAAAUAAAUAUAUAGGAAUUUGAUCCUAAGACUCUAUUCAACAACAAAGCAAAACUUAAA
rnacentral:misc_RNA from 1 species